rnacentral:rRNA from 1 species
UACGGGGGGGGCAAGCGUUGUUCGGAAUUACUGGGCGUAAAGGGUUUGUAGGUGGCCCGCUAAGUCACACGUGAAAUCCCUCAGCUUAACUGGGGAACUGCGUGUGAGACUGGCAGGCUCGAGGGCAGGAGAGGAACGCGGAAUUCCAGGUGUAGCGGUGAAAUGCGUAGAUAUCGGGAGGAACACCAGUGGCGAAGGCGGGCAUCUGGGCCAACACUGACGCUGAGGCGCGAAAGCUAGGGGAGCAAACAGG